rnacentral:misc_RNA from 1 species
GAUGAAGAACGUAGCGAAAUGCGAUACUUGGUGUGAAUUGCAGAAUCCCGUGAACCAUCGAGUCUUUGAACGCAAGUUGCGCCCGAAGCCAUUAGGCCGAGGGCACGCCUGCCUGGGCGUCACACGUCGUUGCCCCCCCAUCUACUCCUUCGGGAUUGCGGGGGGCGGAUGAUGGCCUCCCGUGCGCCUCGUCGCGCGGUUGGCAUAAAUGCCAAGUCCUCGGCGACGCACGCCACGACAAUCGGUGGUUGCGAAACCUCGGUGGCCCGUCGUGUGCGGUCGUCGCGCAUCGAGGGCUCGAAAAAAUUGCCGGGCUCCGGCUCGGCUUUCAACGCGACCCCAGGUCAGGCGGGGUUACCCGCUGAAUUUAAGCAUAUCAAUAAGCGGAGGA